rnacentral:lncRNA from 1 species
AUGCUUGUAGAUUUGCGGAACAAAAUGCAGCUGCACAGAGAUAUUCUGUUGAAGUUUUGUGUGAUUGAUCGGAUGUGUAUGCUGGCUUUCAUCAACUACUUUCGAAGGCCUUACUAGGAAUUGAAAUGGUGUGCAAAGAGAUUGCUUCUUUUGAUCUGAUUUUUCGAUAUAAAUACUGGACAAAGUAUGGAUAUUUUACUGCUGUUAGUAAAAUGGGAUUCUCUUCUUAGGAUCUUAGUUUCUUCAGUUGUAUUAGACUCAACAAUGGCUUGCAUUGCAUUGGUGUUGAUUUUACCUAAAUUUCGAGGUUUACAAUUUUUAAUUUUUAUUAAUUAUUUACAUUUUUUCAUGUUUAUUAAUUUUUAUUAUUAUUUAAGCUUCCUUUAUUUGCC